UGAAGGCUUAAACUAAGUACUUGUGUGAAUAGAACGAAAGAGUCAGCUUCAAGGGAUGUUGCGGAGAGGCUAGAGGUGCUUUGAGCUGAAUGCAUAGGAGAAUAAGAAGUCAGACAAGGCAGCUCCAAUCCAUGCUCUCCUAAAGGAUGAAAAUCUGAAGCAUCUACUGGGAAGGCAAAGGAAAUUGAAGCUUCCACAAUGUCAGCUGACUGGACAGAAGUGAAGAUCUUGAAUUUACUGCAGAACAGAGGAAAUCCCACAAGAAAAUUGCUUCUGGGACUAUGGAUUUAUUUGCUUCUGGUCUAUUUCAAAAUGCAGAAGAAGAGGAAGACACAGCCUACAAAUGGAGAAUUGGGGGGAAGCUUGAGGAAAAGAAAUAAAAGUCUGUAAG